GAUGAACGCUGGCGGCGUGCCAAAUACAUGCAAGUCGAGCGAACAGACGAGGAGCUUGCUCCUCUGACGUUAGCGGCGGACGGGUGAGUAACACGUGGAUAACCUACCUAUAAGACUGGGAUAACUUCGGGAAACCGGAGCUAAUACCGGAUAAUAUAUUGAACCGCAUGGUUCAAUAGUGAAAGACGGUUUUGCUGUCACUUAUAGAUGGAUCCGCGCCGCAUUAGCUAGUUGGUAAGGUAACGGCUUACCAAGGCGACGAUGCGUAGCCGACCUGAGAGGGUGAUCGGCCACACUGGAACUGAGGCACGGUCCAGACUCCUACGGGAGGCAGCAGUAGGGAAUCUUCCGCAAUGGGCGAAAGCCUGACGGAGCAACGCCGCGUGAGUGAUGAAGGUCUUCGGAUCGUAAAACUCUGUUAUUAGGGAAGAACAAAUGUGUAAGUAACUAUGCACGUCUUGACGGUACCUAAUCAGAAAGCCACGGCUAACUACGUG
rnacentral:rRNA from 1 species